AAAAAUUCCAGAUCAGGAGAACAGUGCUGGUGAAUCACUGUCACGUCAGUACACCAGCCAUUGUUAAUAUAAAAACAGAUACCUCCACCUUUUGUUUUGCCAGAAAACACUGUCGCCGUCCACUCUGUUGAGUUGGAAUCCAGCCAGCUGCAGCGUGAGUCCAGUAUUGAUCCACACAGCCACGUCUCCGUGAAGCACAGAACAGAAGAUGAAUAAAAGUCUCUGUUUUUCCCCAGCAGUAGCUGAAGUUUGUCUAGUUUGUUGCACAGUGGGCGCACGUUGGAGAGAAAUAAUGACUGUAGCGGUGUGCGGAGUCCUCGCUGUUGGAAACGCACGAAUGACCCGGCAAAUUUACCUCAGCUCGUUUAUAAAUCUGCUGGUGUUGUUCCCCUGAUGUUCAUGAGCUCAUCUCUGGUGAAAGAGCUCCGGGAAUUACAGCCAAAAACGAUGUUAAGCCACACAAAAACAAAACAAACGCAUGAUUGCAGUUGUUGCUGCUAAGCGUGGCCCAACCAGUUAUUAGGUUUAAAUCACUUUUCACACAGGGCCAUGUAGGUUUGUUUUUUUCCCCCCCUUUAAAGGAGACCUAUCAAACUGCUUUUCCAGACCUAUAUUAUAGUUCUGUGACUCCUGUAUGGCAGCUUUGCAUGAUUCAAAGAUCAAACUAUUGCACCAUCAACUGACCCCGCCCUUACCCAUGCGUGGGGAGGUGCCACUCCUGUCGCCUAGCAACCUUCACAGCUACGGUCCACUGGCAUGGAGACUAAUAUUUUAAUUUUAAUAUUUUACCACUUAAUAGAGGAACUAGAGGUACUUCACCCCCGGCGCCCCCGCAUGAUGUAUCUCAGGCUGAGAGAGGACCCUGGCCAGCCCCGGCCCCUGUACUGCAGGAUAAAUUUGAGUGUGCCUGUGCUGGACAGGGUUUUUUAGCCAGCAGGACACACGGCUGGAUUUCCGGUUGAGCAGGGAGGCCCUGGGAGUGCGACUGAGACACAGAUGGGGUGCCACGAUUGAGACCCUGGUGUUUCUCUUCUGGCUGGCAAGUAGGGCAUCGUACAGGGUGGUCUCCAGAGUGUUUGCAAUGCCUCGAUCCACUGUCCACCGCUUCGUCCACAGAGUCACUGAGGAGGUGGUGGCCAUUUGCCACAAGGUCAUACACCUACCGAAGACCCAGGUUGAGUUACAACUGAUAUCCCGUGUGUUUGCUGGGCUGGUAGGACACAGAGCCUUUUUUAAAGCAGCUGGAGAAAUCGACGGCUGCCAUGUCCGCAUCAAGCCACCGAGCGGCCCUGAUGGUCAGUGCUACAGGAAAAGGAAACUGUUUCCAUCCAUCAUCCUGCAGGCUGUCUGUGACCAUCAGGGCCGCUUCAUUGACACCUACGUGGGCCGGCCUGGGUCGGUCCACGACUCCAGAGUGCUCCGCUACAGCCCACUGUACAGGAGUUCACUCUACCCUCCUCCAGGGCAUUUCAUCCUUGCAGACGGAGGGUACCCGUGCCUCCAACACCCACUCCCCCCCCUCAUCACUCCCUACAAGAGGCCAAUACAAGGUGUGGGAGCCCAGCGCUUCAACAGCCAUCACUCCAGGGCACGCUCCAUUAUAGAGCGUGACCAUAGAGCGUGAAGACCAGGUUCCGGGCCAUCUUCCUGCAAUCGCCUCCAGCGCACCACACCUUUGUACUUCGAGUCAUAACAGCAUGAGCCAUCCUCCACAACAUCUGCCUUGGGGCUGGUGACAUUGUGGCCCCAGAGGAGGAGCAUGAGGAGGACGAGGCAGAGGAUGAGGGGGAGAACGGUUUGGAGACGGUCAGCGGUGUUUCCUGGCGUGACCAGCUGUCUGCAGAGGUGUCUGCCCUGGAGGAGGUGCCCCCUGACCAGCAAUAUUUUUAACAAGCAAAACAUCUUAGUGACAUGGCAGCCGUCGAUUGAACCAGCCCUGCAAACCCACUGAUGGACGACGCGGUGGACAGUGGAGAGACACCUGCAACACACUCUGGAGACCACCCCAGAUGAUGUCCUGCUGACCAGGGUCUUUAUUGUGGCAGCCCAUCCAGGUCCAGCAGCAUCACCAGGGUUUCCCUGCUCAGCAGAAUAAAUGUUGUAAAUGUGAAAAAUAUAUA